rfam:Desulfacinum infernum DSM 9756 genome assembly, contig: EJ47DRAFT_scaffold00025.25
GUCCCAAGGGUUCGGCUGUUCGCCGAUUAAAGCGGUACGUGAGCUGGGUUUAAAACGUCGUGAGACAGUUUGGUCCCUAUCUACCGCGGGCGUAGGAACUUUGAGGGGAUCUGUCCCUAGUACGAGAGGACCGGGAUGGACGGACCUCUGGUGUCCCAGUUGUUCCGCCAGGAGCACCGCUGGGUAGCUAUGUUCGGAAGGGAUAACCGCUGAAAGCAUCUAAGCGGGAAACCCACCCCAAGAUAAGAGUUCCCCUUCCGCUUCGGCGGAGCUGAAGGCCCCUCGUAGACGACGAGGUUGAUAGGCCGGAGGUGGAAGUCCGGUAACGGAUGGAGCUGACCGGUACUAAUAGGCCGUGCGGCUUGACCAU